GCCGCGUGAGUGAAGAAGGCCUUUGGGUUGUAAAGCUCUUUCGUCGGGGAAGAAAAUGACUGUACCCGAAUAAGAAGGUCCGGCUAACUUCGUGCCAGCAGCCGCGGUAAUACGAAGGGACCUAGCGUAGUUCGGAAUUACUGGGCUUAAAGAGUUCGUAGGUGGUUAAAAAAGUUGGUGGUGAAAUCCCAGAGCUUAACUCUGGAACUGCCAUCAAAACUUUUUAGCUAGAGUAUGAUAGAGGAAAGCAGAAUUUCUAGUGUAGAGGUGAAAUUCGUAGAUAUUAGAAAGAAUACCAAUUGCGAAGGCAGCUUUCUGGAUCAUUACUGACACUGAGGAACGAAAGCAUGGGUAGCGAAGAGGAUUAGAUACCCUCGUAGUCCAUGCCGUAAACGAUGUGUGUUAGACGUUGGAAAUUUAUUUUCAGUGUC
rnacentral:rRNA from 1 species